UAGCGUUGAGGCGAGCUACGCGGCCAGCGACAAAGCUAACCACGAGGAGGGAUUGGACACCGUCGUCAGUGUUUGCAGUUUUUCCCCCUGCAGUUUGAAAGAUUUCUCGGCCAGUGACGAUGACAGCUCGGCUGAGCCAACUCCCCCUGAAUGUGCCGGAGAAGAAGCCACAGCUUGUGGAGGUGCCACUUGUUUCCCAAGUGUUGGUGUUUCCCCCUGCAGUUUGGAAGAAGAUUUCUCGGCCAGUGACGAUGACAGCUCGACUGACCCAACUCCCCCUG